rnacentral:rRNA from 1 species
GAUGAACGCUGGCGGCGUGCCUAAUACAUGCAAGUCGAACGCUGGAGCUCUAGCUUGCUAGAUCGAAGGAGUGGCGAACGGGUGAGUAAUACAUAAGCAACCUACCCACGAAGACUGGGAUAAUCUCUGGAAACGGGGACUAAUACCGGAUAGGUAAUCGGAAGGCAUCUUCUGGUUAUUAAAGGUUAAAAACACUGGUGGAUGGGCUUAUGGCGCAUUAGUUAGUUGGUGAGGUAACGGCCCACCAAGACGAUGAUGCGUAGCCGGCCUGAGAGGGUGAACGGCCACAUUGGGACUGAGGCACGGCCCAGACUCCUACGGGAGGCAGCAGUAGGGAAUUUUCGGCAAUGGGGGCAACCCUGACCGAGCAACGCCGCGUGAGUGAAGACGGCCUUCGGGUUGUAAAGCUCUGUUGUAAGGGAAGAACGGUAGAUAGAGAAUAUCUAAGUGACGGUACCUUACCAGAAAGCCACGGCUAACUACGUG